CGGGCAGCAGACAGUGGUCAGUCCUUUCUUGGCUCUGCUGACACUCGAGCCCACAUUCCGUCACCUGCUCAGAAUCAUGCAGGUCUCCACUGCUGCCCUUGCUGUCCUCCUCUGCACCAUGGCUCUCUGCAACCAGUUCUCUGCAUCACGUGAGUCUGAGUUUCGUUGUGGGUAUCACCACUCUCUGGCCAUGGUUAGACCACAUCAAUCUUUUCUUGUGGCCUAAAAGCCCCCAAGAGAAAAGAGAACUUCUUAAAGGGCUGCCAAACAUCUUGGUCUUUCUCUUCAAGACUUUUAUUUUUAUCUCUAGAAGGGGUCUUAGCCCCCUAGUCUCCAGAUAUGAGAAUCUAGGCAGGGGCAGGGGAGUUACAGUCCCUUUUACAGAUAGAAAAACAGGGUUCGAAACGAAUCAGUUAGCAAGAGGCAGAAUCCAGGGCUGCUUACUUCCCAGUGGGGUAUGUUGUUCACUCUCCAGCUCACUCUAGGUCUCCCAGGAGCUCUGUCCCUUGGAUGUCUUAUGAGAGAUGUCCAAGGCUUCUCUUGGGCUGGGGUAUGACUUCUUGAACCAGACAAAAUUCCCUGAAGAGAACUGAGAUGAGAGAACAGUCCGUUCAGGUAUCUGGAUCACACAGAGAAACAGAGAACCCACUAUGAAGAGUCAAGGAGAAAGAAGGAUACAGACAGGAACAAAGAGACAUUUCUCAGCAAAAACGCCCAAAUGCCUUCCAGUCACUUGGUCUGAGCAAGCCUGCCUUCCUCAACUGCUCGGGGAUCAGAAGCUGCCUGGCCUUUUCUUCUGAGCUCCUUGGGAACAUCCCUGUGACCUCCACAGCUACCUCUUCUAUGGACUGGUUGUUGCCAAACAGCCACACUGUGGGACUCUUCUUAACUUAAAUUUUAAUUUAUUUAUACUAUUUAGUUUUUGUAAUUUAUUUUCGAUUUCACAGUGUGUUUGUGAUUGUUUGCUCUGAGAGUUCCCCUGUCCCCUCCCCCUUCCCUCACACCGUGUCUGGUGACAACCGAGUGGCUGUCAUUGGCCUGUGUAGGCAGUCAUGGCACCAAAGCCACCAGACUGACAAAUGUGUAUCGGAUGCUUUUGUUCAGGGCUGUGAUCGGC
rnacentral:sRNA from 1 species